rnacentral:lncRNA from 1 species
CUAAUUUAAGAUGUCUAAGAGGCAGUUGAUGAUGCAUGUCUAUAAGAUCAGAAAACAGAUUAUGUCUAUAUGUAGACAUCUAUAAAUCAUUGUAUCGAGAUCAUAAUUAAACCUAUAGGACCUCCCUUACAUACAGAGGAAAAAAAGAAUAGAGCCUAGGACAGAGACUUGAAGAAUAGCUAUGGUUGAUGGUUGUGAUCAUUUUGAAGGAUCGGCAAAGGAAAGAGUUGGAAAGAUAGGAAAGAAAUUAAGAGAAGACAACAUUAUGAAACCCAGAAGUGAGAAAACAGUAAUGAAAGGAAGUAGCUCAACAGUGUCAAAUUCUCCUGGGUGGUCAUUAAAGGGAUACUGUUAGGAAGUUGAUGGAAAAGUCCAAAUCUUCUGAACCUCUAAGGUCUUAUCAUUGGUGCUGCCACUGCUUCCUAAGAUCUGAUGGCCUUCUCAUCUGUCCUAUUGCUAUGUCCUCUGGAUCUACUAAAUGUUGUCAUAUGAUCUACUGUUGGAUCUUAAGGAAUUCUGAGUUUUAUCAUACUUCUCUUCCUGCUACACUCUACGAACUACCGAGCCUUUCCAUGUGUCUUGAAAAUGGAUCCACCUAAAUAAAUUUUUUUCUAAUUAAAUUAUGAACUCCCUAGAGUAUGGAGUACCUUGUUUUUUCUAUUUGCAUUCCCAACAUUUAGCCUGGUGUUCAGCAUAUAGUAGGCCCUCAGUAAAGGCUUUUAAAUCCAUUCUAUUCCAUCAUUUUAUGUACUAUCUUAGGGGUAGGGCAUUUAUAAUGUAAACUAUUACAAAAUAUUUUCUCCCCCCAAAUGAUUGAGAGUAUAUUUAUAACUACUAACCCAUAUAUCUAUGUUUAAAAAUCUUCAUAAAAUCUUUAUGAGAAUAAUCAAUAUGUAAAUUGAGGAUAGCUUUGAUUUAAAAACAAACUGGAAAAGGAAACAAAGUCUUUUCAAAGUAAUUUUCUAUAGCAAUUUAUAUAUUUCCAGUCUGACAAUUGACUGCAGGGUACAGAGGAAAUAUAUUCUUAUGUUUACUGUUUUUUAUUAUAAAAUAUUUAGUAAAAUAAAAUUUUGAAGUCAAUUUAUUAAACA